CGUAGGGUGCGAGCGUUAAUCGGAAUUACUGGGCGUAAAGCGUGCGCAGGCGGUUUUGUAAGACAGGCGUGAAAUCCCCGGGCUCAACCUGGGAACUGCGUUUGUGACUGCAAGGCUAGAGUAUGGCAGAGGGGGGUGGAAUUCCACGUGUAGCAGUGAAAUGCGUAGAGAUGUGGAGGAACACCAAUGGCGAAGGCAGCCCCCUGGGUCGAUACUGACGCUCAUGCACGAAAGCGUGGGUAGCAAACAGGAUUAGAUACCCUGGUAGUCCACGCCCUAAACGAUGUCAACUAGGUGUUGGGAGGGUAAAACCUUUUAGUACCGGAGCUAACGCGUGAAGUUGACCGCCUGGGGAGUACGGCCGCAAGGUUA
rnacentral:rRNA from 1 species